rnacentral:tRNA from 1 species
AAAAAGAUAAGCUAAUGAAGCUAUUAGGUUCAUACCCUAUGAAUAAAGGUUUUAAUCCUUUUCUUUUUA